CUGUACAAUGAGAAACUAUCUCGGAGCUGACCGGGCAAAGAUACCAGUUUUCAUCAGACUCACCCUGGGUCCAGUUAAUUCUACUGCUAACUUAUAACACUAAUACCAUUACUGUUGCCAAAAUAACCCACGUAUCAAAUCCAUACUUCAGUUAGCUGUCAAGCCACAAGUGUUAAAUUGGUUAACCCUCAUUCAGGACGAGACAACACCGCCGUCAUUAUAAACGCUGACUGUGGUGA